AUUGAACGCUGGCGGCAGGCCUAACACAUGCAAGUCGAGCGAGUGGCGGACGGGUGAGUAAUGUCUGGGAAACUGCCUGAUGGAGGGGGAUAACUACUGGAAACGGUAUCUAAUACCGCAUACCAUCAGAUGUGCCCAUAUGGUAUUAUCUUGUUGGUGGGGUAACGGCUCACCAAGGCGACGAUCCCUAGCUGGUCUGAGAGGAUGACCAGCCACACUGGAACUGAGAAACGGUCCAGACUCCUACGGGAGGCAGCAGGGGGGAAUAUUGCACAAUGGGCGCAAGCCUGAUGCAGGCAUGCCGCGUGUAUGAAGAAGGCCCUAGGGUUGUAAAGUACUUUCAGUGGGGAGGCGUUACCGGCAGAAGAAGCACCGGCUAACUCCGUGCCAGCAGCCGCGGUAAUAC
rnacentral:rRNA from 1 species